rnacentral:rRNA from 1 species
UACGUAGGGUGCAAGCGUUAAUCGGAAUUACUGGGCGUAAAGCGUGCGCAGGCGGUUUUGUAAGUCUGACGUGAAAGCCCCGGGCUCAACCUGGGAAUUGCAUUGGAGACUGCAAGGCUAGAAUCUGGCAGAGGGGGGUAGAAUUCCACGUGUAGCAGUGAAAUGCGUAGAGAUGUGGAGGAACACCGAUGGCGAAGGCAGCCCCCUGGGUCAAGAUUGACGCUCAUGCACGAAAGCGUGGGGAGCAAACAGG